rnacentral:misc_RNA from 1 species
UUUCCGUAGGUGAACCUGCGGAAGGAUCAUUACCGAAUGAGGGUCAAUCAGGCCCGACCUCCCACCCUGUGUCUUUGUGACCUUGUUCCUUUGGCGGGGCCGCUCCGGUGCGGGGCGGCCGGAAGCUCACCGCUUUGCCCCCGUGCCCGCGAGUAGCCCCCUUCAAUUCUUAAUAACCCUAUCGGCCGAUUCUAGUUAUAAUAAAAAAACUUUCAACAACGGAUCUCUUGGUUCUG